rnacentral:ribozyme from 13 species
UUUCUCUUUCUCUUUCUCUUUCUCUUUCUCUUUCUCUUUCUGGUUUUGUGUUGGUGAGAGGAAGUCUCAAAGGAAGAAAGAUGAACGAGACGUUGGCACAAAGAAA